rnacentral:lncRNA from 1 species
AUGUCUACCAUGCGAUUUUGAUUUUAAUGUUUAGCAUAUGAUUUGCAAACCCAAAACAUGCAAUUUCUAUUAACAAACAGAUCAUACAAUCAAGUUUUAAUAAUCCUAGCAUGUGAUUAGGUGGUCAAACAAAUCAAAUUUCAAUUAAGCAUGCGAUUUGCAAUUUUAUGCCUAGCAUGCAAUUUCUAAUUUAAAAAACAUGCAAUCAGAUUUUCUUAAACAAACAAUCAGAUUUUAAAGCUUUAAACAGCAUGUGAAAACAAGUUUUAGAAAGUUUUCAUCAAGAGGGUUUUAAUUUUAAAGCUAUGCGAUUUUUAGGUUUAAGCAAAUUAGGUUUUAGAUGUUUAGGAAUCGGUUUUUCAAGCAUACCAAGUAUGCGAUCUGAUUAUUGACAUAAUCAGAUCAGAAACUAUAGUUUUAGGUAUAUGAUUCAACUUUUAGAAUUAUUAGAAUCAUAUUAGAUAGUAUAGGUUUAUACAAUUUUUGGUUUUAAGCAUGACAUUCGAUUUUCAUGUCAUGCGAUUUUAGGUUUAGAUUAGUUCUUAGGUUUAAAACUUAUGACCAUGUUUUACAAAGUUUUAAACAUGUACUUUAUGAUUUAUAAGGAUAUAAAUCGAAUUAUGUAUUCAUAGUUGGUAGGGUUUCGAUUUCUAUGAUCACAUAUUAAGGUAUAUGCGAUCGGUUCUCACUACAAGAAAACAUAAUCUUAACGAGGGCGGUUUUCCUCGUGAGUUCGCCGUAAAAGAGGCUUUACGACGAAUUAGCGAGGAACCACGUUUGCUCGUUACUCAUCUGUCGUGACACAUAUUUCCUCGCUAAUUCGUCGUA